GAGGGUGUAACUCAGUGGCAGAGCACUUGCUUUGUGUGUAGAAGGUUCUGGGUUCAAUCCCCAGCAUCUCCG